UACGUAGGGGUGCAAGCGUUUGUCCGGAAUUUAUUGGGCGUAAAGAGCUCGUAGGCGGUCUGUCGCGUCUGCUGUGAAAACUCAGGGCUUAACCCUGAGCUUGCAGUGGGUACGGGGCAGACUAGAGUGCGGGUAGGGGGAGACUGGAAUUCCUGGUGUAGCGGUGAAAUGCGCAGAUAUCAGGAGGAACACCAAUGGCGAAAGGGCAGCACUCUGGGGAC
rnacentral:rRNA from 1 species